UCCUACGGGGGGCAGCAGUAGGGAAUAUUGGUCAAUGGACGCAAGUCUGAACCAGCCAUGCCGCGUGCAGGAAGAAGGUCCUCUGGAUUGUAAACUGCUUUUGUCCGGGAAUAAAUCUGUCUUAAGAGGCAGUUGAAGGUACCGGGAGAAUAAGCACCGGCUAACUCCGUGCCAGCAGCCGCGGUAAUACGGAGGGUGCAAGCGUUGUCCGGAUUUAUUGGGUUUAAAGGGUGCGUAGGCGGCCUGUUAAGUCAGUGGUGAAAUGCGGUGGCUCAACCAUCGAACUGCCAUUGAUACUGACGGGCUUGAGUACAGUUGAGGUAGUUGGAAUGAGUAGUGUAGCGGUGAAAUGCAUAGAUAUUACUCAGAACACCGAUUGCGAAGGCAGAUUACUAAACUGGAACUGACGCUGAGGCACGAAAGUGUGGGGAUCAAACAGGAUUAGAUACCCGAGUAGUC
rnacentral:rRNA from 1 species